UAAAACAAGUUCGGAGGGAUCCGAAAAGCAUACAUUGUCCCUAUCUACUAUCUAGCGAAACCACAGCCAAGGGAACGGGCUUGGAAUAAUUAGCGGGGAAAGAAGACCCUUUUGAGCUUGACUCUAAUCUGGCAGUGUAAGGAGACAUAAGAGGUGAAGAAUAAGUGGGAGAUAUUAGACCUCGGUUUGCUAUCGUCAAUGAAAUACCACUACUCUUAUUGUUUCCUUACUUACUUGAUUAAAUGGAACGUGUAUCAUUUCCUAGCUAUUAUACGGAUAUAUUUAUUAUAUCUUAUGGUAUUGGGUUUUGAUGCAAGCUUCUUGAUCAAAGUAUCACGAGUUUGUUAUAUAAUCGCAAACAAAUUCUUUAAUAAAACGAUGCAUUUAUGUAUUUUUGAUUUGAAAAUUUGGUAUAACUCCAAUUACUCAGGUAUGAUCCAAUUCAAGGACAUUGCCAGGUAGGGAGUUUGACUGGGGCGGUAAGUCUCUCAAAUAAUAACGGAGGUGUCCCAAGGCCAGCUCAGUGCGGACAGAAACCACACAUAGAGCAAACGGGCAAAUGCUGACUUGAUCUCGGUGUUCAGUACACACAGGGACAGCAAAAGCUCGGCCUAUCGAUCCUUUUGGUUUAAAGAGUUUUUAACAAGAGGUGUCAGAAAAGUUACCAUAGGGAUAACUGGCUUGUGGCGGCCAAGCGUUCAUAGCGACGUCGCUUUUUGAUCCUUCGAUGUCGGCUCUUCCUAUCAUUGUGAAGCAAAAUUCACCAAGCGUUGGAAUGUUCACCCAUGCAAGGGAACGUGAGCUGGGUUUAGACCGUCGUGAGACAGGUUAGUUUUACCCUACUAAUGACAAAACGUUGUUGCGACAGCAUUCCUGCGUAGUACGAGAGGAACCGCAGGUACGAACCAAUGGCACAAUACUUGUUCGAGCGAACAGUGGUAUGACGCUACGUCCGUUGGAUUAUGCCUGAACGCCUCUAAGGUCGUCUCCGUGCUGGACUGCAAUGAUAAAUAAGGGGCAAUUUGCAUUGUAUGCCUUCUAAACCAUUUAAAGUUUAUAAUUUACUUUAUAAACGACAAUGGAUGUGAUGCCAAUGUAAUUUGUAACAUAGUAAAUUGGGAGGAUCUUCGAUCACCUGAUGCCGCGCUAGUUACAUAUAAAAGCAUUAUUUAAUACAAUGACAAAGCCUAGAAUCAAUUGUAAACGACUUUUGUAACAGGCAAGGUGUUGUAAGUGGUUGAGCAGCUGCCAUACUGCGAUCCACUGAAGCUUAUCCUUUGCUUGAUGAUUC
rfam:Drosophila melanogaster chromosome X.